UGCCAUUAAAUCGAAGCACAAAAAGGAGAAGCCGAAACAGAAAAUAGCAAUGUAGAAGAGACUUACUUGAAAAUUGAAAUCAAUGAUCCGCGAAACUAGAAGUUCUUGGGGCCUUUUGGAGCGCGAUCCAGAUCUGUCAAUCGUCUUCUUCCCGCUCUUACCUUGGACAAAGUGAUGUCGGAUUAUACCAGAUUUGGUGGUUAAAUUAAUGUUAAUCAAAUUUUAUAUUGAAAUUCUAGCUAUUUUCAGUUUUGACCAUAUAAUAAUUGUGUGGAUUUUUACUGCUCAGAUCUUAUGAUCUCUCUCGCCUGUUAGAGAAGAAAGAAACUCAUAAUUUUUUAAAAUCUUCGUACAGAGUAUUUGGGGGAAAAAAAAACAAAUUUCUUUUUGGUUAAUUUUCCUUAUUUAUUGGGUGAUAACGAUGUCGGAUUAAACAUUUGAUUUAUUAUUUGUAAAUUUUGAAUAUAUUAAAAGCAGAUAAUCAAAUUGCAAAUUCAGACAAAAAAAGAAAAAGAAGAGAUUUGAUUCUCAAAAAGAAAUUCCCAAAUCAGCUUUUGCUAAAAACUUGGAAUUACAUAACUGAUUUUUUUUGAAAUUUUCAAAAGGUUUCA
rnacentral:lncRNA from 1 species